GACGAACGCUGGCGGCGUGCUUAACACAUGCAAGUCGAACGGAAAGGCCCUGCUUUUGUGGGGUGCUCGAGUGGCGAACGGGUGAGUAACACGUGAGUAACCUGCCCUUGACUUUGGGAUAACUUCAGGAAACUGGGGCUAAUACAGGAUAGGAGCUCCUGCUGCAUGGUGGGUGUUGGAAAGUUUCGGCGGUUGGGGAUGGACGCGCGGCUUAUCAGCUUGUUGGUGGGGUAGUGGCUUACCAAGGCAUUGACGGGUAGCCGGCCUGAGAGGGUGACCGGCCACAAUGGUACUGAGAUACGGCCCAGACUCCUACGGGAGGCAGCAGGGGCGAAUAUUGCACAAUGGGCGGAAGCCUGAUGCAGCAACGCCGCGUGCGUGAUGACGGCCUUCGGGUUGUAAACCGCUUUCGCCUGUGACGAAGCGUGAGUGACGGUAAUGAGUAAAGAAGCACCGGCUAACUACGUG
rnacentral:rRNA from 1 species